rnacentral:sRNA from 1 species
UCAGAUCCAGGCAUAACAUCCAUCAGGGUGUAUUGCGGCAGAUACGCUGCCAUCCCGAAAGUAGAUCAGCGGGAUGACAGCGUAUCUGUCAGCCUGAAAGAUGACCCGUAUAACUAAAAAGGCCGCAUUGCGGCCUUUUUUCUUUCAAUUGACCCGUCCUGAAUAGCGUUGACACGUUCCAGACUUAAAUCCGGAGAAC